CCCUUAGAUGUUCUGGGCCGCAUACGCGCUACACUGAAGGAGGCAGCGUGUACUCCUGGAUCGAAAGAUUUGGGUAACCCGCGAAUCUCCUUCGUGCUAGGGAUUGAGGUUUGCAAUUAUCCUUCAUGAACGAGGAAUUCCCAGUAAGUGCAAGUCAUAAGCUUGCGCUGACUACGUCCCUGCCCUUUGUACACACCGCCCGUCGCUACUACCGAUUGAAUGUGUUGGUGAGGAGCUCGGAUUGGCAGCAGUUGGUGGUUCGCCACCGGCUAUUGCUGAGAAGUCCUCCAAACCGCCCCAUUUAGAGGAAGGAGAAGUCGUAACA
rnacentral:rRNA from 1 species